AUCCAAGAACCCCUCCAUCAACUUCAUCCAAAAAUGGCUGAUUUUUGUCCUCCUGGAAAAAAUAUGUGGCCAGAGCUUGUUGGGAUUGAAUCGACGAUUGCAGAGUAUAUUAUCAGGAAAGACAAUUCCAAUGUGGAACGUGUUGAUACUAUCUUAGCUGGAAGUGGAGUGACUAAAGAUAUUAGAUGCGAUCGGGUUAGGAUGUUUGUUAAUAUUAAGGGAAUAAUUGUUGAAGUUCCAAGGAUUGGUUAGAAAAAACCAUCCAAAAAUGUUGAUGUAUUGACAAUGGUUUUCUAAAGUGUUAUUAUAAGCAAUAAGGGUAGAAGUAUUCAUAUCUAUUGAAUUCUACCAUUUCAAUAAUCAAUUCCCUUCGCAUUUGUAUUU